UGGGGCCUGAACAAGUAGCGAACUGCGAAGCUGUGCCCCAAACCUUAAAGGAGAACUUGACCCUUGGAGACUGGCCCGCCAUGCGCGGGCUUCAUUCCUUAAAUCACCACUCGAUACGGAGGCCCGGACGCUUCUUGCAUGGCCGGGGAUUUACGGCGGCGUUGCCACGGCUCCAUGAGCAACCGUUAUGCAGCUACUUCAAACCGCUGCGGCAGACGACGCAGGUGCGGGAGGUCAUGCGACCCGCAAACCGCGCGCCAGACCGAACGCUGUACGGGUGGGAUACUGCAUUGGAGGCAACA
rnacentral:sRNA from 12 species